rnacentral:lncRNA from 1 species
AAAAUAACUUACAAUCUCAUAUUCUCAAAUGCUUCGUUUGGUUCGGGGUUAAAUAAUAACCAGUUAUUUCAGAAAUAUGUAUAAGUUUAGGUGUAAGCCUGAAAUAGACCAAUUUUGCGUUUAGAUUAAAAUUGAGUUGUUUCCGGAAUAUUUGUAUAGAUAAGAUGAAAUAAGAAGAAUAAUGGACAGUUAUAAAUAAAAAAUAAUGAUAUUGCUUCAAUUAUUAUAUUUGAAUUUAAAUUUUUUUAUUUUAUAUUUNUAAAUCUCAAAUUUAAAAAUUUAAAGUUAUAAAUUUUAAAUUUUAAAUCAAAUCUAAAUUUACAAAUAUAAAAUAUCAAAUUUAAAAUUUAAAUAAUUAAAAAUAACAAUUUAAAAUUUAAAAUUUAAAAUAUUAAUUUUAAAAUUAUAAAUUAUAAAUUUUUUAAAUUUAAAAUUUAAAUUAUAAAUUUAAAUAUUAAGGGGGUGGGGUUAGCUAACCCCUCACACCCCCACCACCACCCUCCCUCAAAAAAAAGUGUUUGGGGGUGAAAUAGCAUUUUUAGUGUUACGCCUCAGGGCCGAUUUUAAAAAGUCUUUUUUAUAAUGAAUAAUAUUUUAGAAAUCAGAGUUGUGGAAAACGUACCAUUUUUUUUUUUAAACAGUCUGAUCCACGUGACGUACAAACCCAUCACAAAUACAAAAUUUCUCUGCCCACACGAACAGAAUUUUCUUUGUAUUUGCACGAUGUACCGAACAACAAAAUCAACAGGACCACAACAACAAUCUAUAUUCACCAAUCCACAAAUAAAAGAUGCGAUGCAAUUCCAUACAACUAGCCAUCCUUAAGGAUGAUGUUUGUCUCUAAACACUCCUUCGGUGCUUCUUAGGUGCUGAAUAAUACGAUACACAAUACAAUAAUCAUUCUAUUUAAAAGUGGUCUCCGCCCAAAAAUUUUGUUUUUAAAAUCUAUUUGUUCAUCCAUGAAAACUAUUCAAAAACCUUUUAAAACUGUUUCCCACACGAAAAUUCCAUCUUUGAAAACUGACUAUCUCGAGCGGUAGAAAACCACAGGACGUGAAUCUAUAAAUCCAUGUAUUGAAGAUUCAUAAAACUCUGAUUAUAUGCAUAAUAGAAAACACCAACUCGUAUAAGUUCACAAUUAUUCAAACAAAUUACAAUAAUCAUCUAACUGAACCAUUUUAUUAUUUAAACUACUAAAUGCGGAAAGAAAAAUAACCAGAGUAACGACCACUACUGC